UCAACGUUAUAUUUGCACACUUUUGCUCCUUUCUGCAAACCUGUGGCUGUGCGUGUGAACCCCGCUUCAACACUUUCUUCUUUUGUUUCAUCUACUGUACCUCCCCACUUCUUUGCCUAUAUCACUCACUCCACUCGCUCUUCGGCCACAGAAUAGCGGUAUACUGUGCUUAAGCUUCCCUAUUCAACUUUUUGACGUCUGUUAUCAGGUUAUCACUAAAAUAAUGUCAUUUGAAACCCUAUUGAAGUGAGUCACCGGUUUUAUUAAUUUGCGUAUAGGUACUAUACGAUUGAAAUUGAGAUUGAAAUUGAUUUCUUUUUAUUUACCGUAGCUUGUACGUGCGUUUUUGUAGUUCGAUCUUUGGCUUCAUCAUCAACAAGCGAAUCGAGCUGACCACCAUCAGAAACCAGAAUUGGUGAAAAUAUGCAGCAAAGAGUUGAAAGAUUCAACAUAGAUUGGAUCAAAGGUUUUGCUUAUACGUACGGAUUUGCAGCACUGAUUAUUAGCAAUUAUUAUUUAAUCUCCAGUGCACGUAGCACAAGCAACAAACGAUAUUGGAAUUAUCAACAAUAGAUAAAAACUCAGACUGAAGGAACUCUACCAUUAUCAUUCAUCAUCAGCAGUCACGUUUAUUACGGACUGCCGAAAAUCUUCAAAAAUGUAAUGAGCAUUAAAAAGAGAAAAUGCCAACAGCACGUGGUGUUCCCAAGCGGUCACCCAUCCAAGUGAUCGGUGAUCGGACGAGAACCGGUGUAUUCAACGUGGUAUGGCCGUUGGCGAAAAGUAAUUGGAAAAAUGUCUCAACUAAAAAUCACCUAUUAUUUUCCUUGAUAAACGGAAAAAUAUUUUAUUUUUGUAAAAUAAAAACAUAAGGAUAUUUAUAUUCCAAUCUGGCAAAUAUAAAAUAAAUAUGUUUUUAU